CUCCAGGGCUGUGCUAAAAUACAGAAUGAGUGUCUUACUGCUAACCUGUGUGGAUGUUUCUGGUACUCAGAAAAAUCAGGAACAUCAUUUUCAAUCUGAAGAAUUAAAUAAGAAAUUCAAUAAAGCAGGAUAAGAAAAUGGCUGGCAUGUUUUCCCAUUACCUAGAAUAGCUCUGUGGAGACCAACCAUUCCAUGAAAACAACUGCAAAACAGGAUAAUCCAGUAAAAACAUCUGCUGAAAGGCAUCAGAAAACUAGCAAGGCAGCAAGACUGAGAAGCCAAGAUAGCAGAAAGAAGGGUGUGCAGAGAGGUCAGCUCAGUAUUCGGUGCCACUUUUCCUUGAGGCAUUUGUCAACUCCUAAACAGCAGCCUAAAGAUGAAGGAGCUGAGCAGAUAUUCUAAGAGUUUCACGGGGAUAAGGAAUAACAUGGAAGCUUAAGACCCAAUAAGAAGCAGACAAAAUAUCCCAGCAUUUCAGUUGGAACCCUGGAUGGGAUUCAUUUCAGGAGUAAUAGGGAACCAGAAACAAAGGACGGUCAUGAAGAUUCAAGCCCACUGAGAUUAGACUAGCUGAUCUGCCUCUACCCUAACUUUCAACCAGAAAGAAAAUAAACCCGCUAGCAGUAACACCAUCUAGAGUCUGGAAUUAUCUCUGAAAAUUUUCACAUACCAUAUCCUGAUUUCAAUAAAAAAUUAUCAGUCAUAUUAAGAAGCAAAAUAAAUGAUCAAAAGCCAAGAGGAAAAAAAUCAAGUAAAAGAAACGAGCCAACAGGAGACAGGACACGGUGGCUCACGCCUGUAAUCCCAGCACCACAAGGUGGGUGGAUCACUUGAGGUCAAGAGUUUGAGAUCUGCCCGGCCAAAAUGGUGAAACCCCAUCUCUACUAAAAAUACAAAAAUUAGCCGGGCAUAGUGGUGGGUGCCUGUAAUCCCAGCUACUUGGGAAGUUGAGGCAUGAGAAUUGCUUCAACCCGGGAGGCGGAGGUUCCAGUGAGCUGAGGUUGUGCCUCUGCACUCCAGCUUGGCUGACAGAGCAAGACUCUGUCAAAAAAAGAAAAAGAAAAAAGAAAAGAAAGAAGCCAACAGGAGAUCCAGAUGUUGAAAGUUUUCGAUAUGGAUUUUUAAAUUACUACAGUUAAUAUGGUCAAGAAAUUUGCUGGUAGUAUGAAUAAUUUCAAAAAAGGACUGGAAAUUUCAGAACAGAAUCAAGUGGAAAUUCUAGAACUGAAAAUUAGAAAAACUGCAAUCAGACAUCAAAAGAUAGGACUAAGGCCAUUUAUGGAAUAUGGUCUGAAAGGUCUAAAAUAUAUGUAACUGGAGUUCCAGAGAAGAGGUAACAAGAGACUAGAACAGAGGUAAUAUCUGAAGAAGAAGUAGCUGAAGAAUUUCCAAGUGAUAAAAGUCACAGUUCACAAAAUACUACUGUGCCCAACUGGGAAAAAUUCAAAACAACCGCCUAACCACAUAAAAAGAAAGCUAUCUAAAAAGACAAAGAGGAAAAUCUUUGCAGAUAGAAAAAAAAACACACAUAAUACUUUUAAAAGGAAUAAUCAUCAGUCUGACAGUUAAUUUCACAAUUGAAAUAUUGGAAGCCAGAUGACAACAAGCAUCUUCAAAACAUUAAAAGAAAAUAACUGCAGCCUAGAAUUUUGUAUCUAACAAAAAUAUUCCCCCAAAUAAAUGUUAAAUAAAAACAUUUUUAUACAAGCACAAAACGAAAAGAAAAUGUUACCAGUAGGGCUGCAGCAAAACAAAUUCUAAAGGGAGCCCUUGAAGUCAAAAAAAAUAAUUUCAAGUGAAAGCACAGAAAGAACAAAGAAUAAAUAAAUACAUAAAUAGCAAUGAAAAAAACUAAAUGAAUAUUAAACAUGUAAAAUAACAAUCAUAUAUUGAGGAGUUUAUAGAAUAAUAUACAAAUAGCACUAAAAUAAAUGACAAUAGAAGAAAAUGGGAGAAGUAGAAAAGUAAAGUGAAAUCAUUUUAAAACCUUAGAUUGUCCAAAAAGUGGAAAAAUUACUAAUUUUUAUUAGAAUUAAAUAAGCCAGGAAUUCAUGUAUAAUCUCUAGAGUAACACCUAAAAAAAUUAGCAGUAAAAGAAUGGUGAAGAAGAAAAAAAGAAAAAUUAAUUUUUAAGAAAGAAGAGGAAAAUAACAGGUAAGAACAAAGAAAAAAACACACAUUGACAAAUUUUGAAGGAUUGAACUUAUACAGCGUGUGGUCACUGGAAAUGAGUUAGAAAUCAAUAAUAGAAUGUAAACAAAAAACUAUCAAAUAUUGAAAAAUUAAGCAAUACUCUCCUAAAAAGUCCCAUAGCUAAAGGGCGAAAUCCCAAUGAAGUUAGAAUACACACUGAGCUGGAUGAUAAUAAAAUAUUACAUAUCAAAACUUAUAAAAUGCAGCUAUGGAUGUGCUUUAAGAAAAAAUGAUCAUCUUCAAUACAUCUAUUCUAGAAAACAGAAGGGCUAAAAAUCAGUGAUUGAAGUAUUCACCUAAAGAAGAUAGAAAAAUAAUAGUAGAUUAGACCCCAAUAAGUUAGAAAGAAAGAGUAACAAAGAUUCAAACAGAAAUUGAGUCAGGACAAAAAAUGCAAUGAAGGUAAGUAAAAUCCAAAGUUGUUCCUUGAAAAGGCAAAUAAAUGUAUAACCUUUGUAAAAACUAAUAAAGAAUAAAAACAGUGAAGUUACUGAUUACCAACAGAAAGACUAAAAAGGAAUGUCACCAUAAAGUCAACAUUUAUUAGACAGAUUAAGAGAAUUUUAAGAACAAUUUUGUGCUAACAAAUUUGAAAACUUACAUUAAAACACAUUUUAUCAAAAUUGAUACAGUAGAAAAUAAUUGGAAUAAUUCUAUACUAACAAUAAUUUUGAAUCUGAAAUUAAAACCUUGCCACAAAGAAAAUUCAGACCCAUAUGUAUUUAUUAAUGAAUUUCUCUAAACAUUUAAGAAAUAAAUAACACCACUUACACAAUCUAUUGUGUAGAAUAGAAGAGAGAACACUUUUCAUCUCAUGUUGUGAAUCCAAGACACCCUGAUGAGUAUAUUAUAAAAAAGGAAACUUCUAACUCAAACAUUCUGAAGCAAUAUCAGCAACCUAAUCUGGUGAUUUCUAAAAAGAAUAACAUAUCACAACUAAGUAGGUUUUAUUUAGGAACAGACCCUUGAAUUUCAAUCAUGAUAACUCAGUACAAUAAUAAAGGAGAAAUUAUCCUGUCACUAUCUCAAUAGAUGCAGCAACAAACAGAUGUUGAAUUUUUUGAUAAAAUCCAAUGCCCAUUUAUGAUAAAAACUUCCUAACUAGCAAUAGAAAGAAAUUUCUUUAAUAUGAUAGAGUAUUUACAAGAUAAUCUUGAGAAAGUUUUCAGAAUUAACAUCAAGAGAAGGAAAACUACAGCCAAAUUGUAAAAAAAAAAUUCUCAGAUGAAAUUAUGAAGUUUAUAAGGCCCAGUUUUCAAAGCCUUCAUUUUCACAGGCCCCUAUAAGUGUUAGGAAUUGCUGGGGAUUGUAGAGAAUUCUGGAGAGAGAGCAAAGUGGGUUGCAACCAAGAAACAUUUAUAUGUUAACAUGUCUGGAAAAUUGUGUAAAGUUGCCUCAGAAGAAAUGAAAAAUCUCUAAGUUUCCAAUAAUUUGUGGUACAUAUUUCUUAAUCUAAAUAAAUAUUCAUUUUCAUACUGUAUAUUACUGCAUUCUCACACUACUAUAAAGAACUAUCUUAGAAGGGGUAAUAUAUGAAGAAAGGAGGCUUAAUUGGCUCACAGUUCUGCAGGCUUAACAGGAAGCAUGGGUGGGAAGCCUCAGGAAACUUACAAUCAUGGCAGAAGGCAAAGGGAAAGUAAGCAUGUCUUGUCAUGGCAGACCAGUAGUGAGAGAGAAGGGGGAAGGGCCACACUCUUUUAAGCCAUCAGAUCUUGUGAGAACUCACUCACUAUCAUGAGAACAGCAAGGAGGAAAUCCACCCCCAUGCUCCAAUCAUCUCCCAUCAGGCCCCUUCUCCUGUUUGACAUGAGAUUUGGGUAAGGACACAAAUCCAAAUGAUAUCACAUACCUUUAAAAAGCAUUUUCAAAAACCUAUGAUAAAUAUCAUAUUUAAUGGAGAAAUAUUGAAAACUUUUUAUCUGACAUUGCAAAGGAGACAGGUUCCCCUUAUUAACAACAGUUUUAUUUAACAUUGGUAGGAAAAAGAUCCUAGCAUGUAUAAUAAUGCAAGAAAAAUAAUACAUAUAAAGAUUAGAAAGAAAAACUGUCAUUACUUAUAGAUUGUAUUAUAUCCAAGCUGCAAGAUAAUCCAUAGGAAAAUUAUUGUGAUUAAAUGAAUUUAGAAAAAUCACAGAGUUCAAGGUCAAUAUGAAAAAUCUCUGUUUAUAUACCAAUAAGUGAUUAAAAAUGAUAUUUUAAAAAUUAUAUCAUUAACAAUUAUAUCAAAAGACCAAAUAUCUAGAAAUAAAUUAACAAAUGUGCAAAACUCUACACAAAAAAUAUGAAACAUUAUUUAAAAAAAUUUCAAAAGACCUAAAUAAAAGGAAGACAUUCAAUACCAUAAACAUGUAUAUUAUUUUUAAAUUAUUCUAUAAAGAGUAUCUCCAAUACUGAAGGAAAUAAUGUAUACAAUGGCCCAUGGUCCAUUUCCAAGACGAAGUGCCUUAAAUAGACUUACGUUAGCAAACUACAGAAGAAACAGAACAUACUAGGCCCCUGCUUGGAUAGCCCAUGCCUGCUUGUUGGCCUCCCCCUCCCCCACUCCGCCUCCACAACCCUGUUUCCUUGCCUUCACCAGAACCAAAGAAGUUUAGUCUAAGAUAAAAGUUUACUAGCCUGCAAAAUAGUUCGUUUUGUCUGUUUUUAUUAGCCUGCCCAGCUACUUAGCUCAUAAGUAAAUACUUGAAGAGCCCCUGAGCUAACUAGGAUUGCAAUGCAUUGUGGGCUGCAACAAAAUGCCGCAAAACAACCCUAAAAACAAACAAAACACCUAAAGCCCCUGCCCAACAAUCAAUAGGUGACGUCCAGGAAGAUUGUGACCCCCUAGUAUUCAGCCUAUGAAAAACCGGGAGAGGGACCUGCACACUAGGAGUUAAAUUGCUUGUUAAAACUGUGCUGUGUGUGCCUGCACAUCAGACACCCAAUUCUUGCAAGAGCAUCAUUAAAAGUUUCACUUUCGCUGUUCUCCAGGUCUCUGAGUCCAUUCUUUGGGUUUGGACAGGUAGGUUUGUUUCUCACAAUACCAGGUAUAAUACCAGUAGAAUGUUUCAUAUAAUUUAACAAGUUCAUUAUAAAAUGUACUUGAAAUUGCAAAGAGCCACAAAAAAAACCCAGACAAUAUUGAUGAAGAAAAGACGAAGUCAGAGGACCUAUACUACAAGAUAUCAAUAUAAAUUAUAAAGGUACCAUAAUUAAAACUGUGGAACUGGAGUAAACAUGGACAAGUAGACCAAUGUAGUUAAAAACAAUUCUGAAAAAGACCCACACAUAUAUAGAUGCUUGAUUUAUUACCAUGUUGCUACUGUAAACAAGGGAAAACUGUUUUUUAAAAUAAAUUAUGCUGAGUCAGGCCAGGCACAGUGGCUCGCGCCUGCAAUCCCAGCACUUUGGGAGGCCAAGGUUGGCUGAUCACUUGAGGCCAGGAGUUCAAGACCAGCCUGACAAACAUGGCAAAACCCCUAUCUCUACUAAAAUUAUGAACAUUAGACUGGCUCGGUGGCACACGCCUGUAAUCCCACCUAUGUUGGGUGGCUGAGGCAUGAGAAUUACUUGAACCCAGGAGGCAGAGGUUGCAAUGAGCCAAGAUAGUGCCAAUGCACUCCAGCCUGAGUGACAGAGUGAGAUUCUGUCUCUAAUAAAAAAAAAAAAAAAAGAAAAAGAAAAGAAAAGAAAAAAGAAAUUAUGCUGAGUCAGUAGAAUAUCCAUAGUGAAAAAUAUUAACCCUUCCUUCAUACUAAAUACCAUUUUAGGUGAAUUGAAGAUUAGUAUGAAAGAAAAAAUAGAGUUUCUAAAAAAAUAAUGUUAGUAUUUUUAUGACUUUUGGGUAGGCAAAAGUUUCUUAAGCAGAGCACAAAAAGCACUAGCCAUAAAAGAAAAGACUAAGAAAUUGAGAAAUUAGACCACGUUAAAAUUAAGAAUUCCUGUUUAUCACAAGACAAAUUAAGAAAGUGAAAGGCAAGUCUCAGAGGUAUUAUUUGCAAUAAAUAUAACAAAGAAAGAAUUCACAUUGAGAGUAUAUCAAGAACUUAGAAAAAUCAAUUUUUUCAAUACGACAGAAAACUUGAUUUUAAGAUAGGCAAAUUUAGUCUUGCUAACUUUCAGGGAGACACGAAUUAAAGCUAAAACGAAAUACCACUGCAUAUCAAACAAAAUGGUCAAAAUACAAAACGACUCAUAUGUCAAGUAUUGUAAAGGAUAUGGACAGAGCAACUGGAACUCGAAGUCACUGCUAAUGGGAGUGUAAAUUGGUAUAAUCCCUUUGGAAAACUGUUUGCCAGUAUCUACUAAAGCUGUAUGUUUGCAUAUCAUAUCACCCAGCAAUUCCAUUUGUAGAUCUGCGCCUGACAGAAGUGUGUACAAAUGUGAACUGAAAGACAUUUACAAAGUGCUUAUGGCACUGUUAUUCUUAAUAGCCUCAAAUUAGAGAAAAUUCAAGUGUCUAUCAACAGUAGAACAAAUAUAUUCUAGUAUAUUUAUUCAAUGUAACACUAUGUAGCCAUGAAAUAAACAUGUGUAGCAACAUUCCACAUGGAUGAAUCUCUCCACAGUAUUGAGUGAAAGAAGCCAGACACAAAAGAAUAUGUACUAUAAGAUUCCAUUUAUAUAUUUAUAUAAUGUACAAGCAGGGUCAAAGCUAAUCUACAGAGCUUAAACCUCAAGGUAUUAUCUGUGGCUUGUUAGAAACUGGGCUACACAGCAGGAAGUGAGUGGCAGGCGAGUGAGCAUUACCGCCCGAGCUCCAUCUCCUGUCUGAUCAGCGGUGGCAUCAGAUUCUCAUAGGAGUGUGAACCCUAUUGUGAAAUGUCCAUGCGAGGGAUCUAGGUUUCAUGCUCCUUAGAAGAAUGAUGAUCUAGGCAGGCACGGUGGCUCACACCUGUAAUCCCAGCACUUUGGGAGGCCGAGGAGGUCGGAUCACAAGGUCAGGAGAUCGAGACCAUCCUGGCCAACACGGUGAAACCCCAUCUCUACUAAAAAUACAAAGAAUUAGCCGGGCAGGAUUUCAUUCAGACCAUGCUAGAAAGAUGAUUACCUGAUGUUUUCUUAUGGUUUCUCCCUUAAUCAUUCAUCAUUCCAUCUAGCUGUGUUAGAGUGUUAAUGGUUUUGAAUUUCUCAUUUAUAUCUUUGGGUCAGUAAAUUGAAUUUAAUCCAGAUUAUAUUUUUGGGUAAAGAGAAACUUAAAAAAAAGCUUUAAAAUUAAGGGAUCUACAAACAUGAUCCCUUCCCAUGAAAUUAAAAUUUGAUACAAAGUCUAUCAGGAAAACUUCUAACCUUUAAGAUUUGUCAGGAAAAUUGUGAAACACUGAAAUAUGCAAAAUAUUAGUGGAUGUCCUAUCUAGUAUACCCUUCCAGAUUAUCUGAGUCAGUCAGAAUAUGAGCCUCACAUUGUCUUUCUGCUACUUUACAACCAUGUAGUUGUAAGGCACAGAAUAAUACAAACAAUUCUUUUCCAUAAAAAUGCAAAUAAAUUGUGUCCAGUGAAAUGAAAUGGAUAAUUGGCCUGUGGCUAUUAACCAGUUUUGCGUCUGUUUCACAUUCAUUUCAGCAUCCUUGAUUGCCCAUAUAUGUGUGCUCUUAAAAUUCUCCUUUGAAUUAUUUGUAACAUCUUACUGAUCCCCUCAUUAAUUAAUGAGCUUAAUAAAGUCUUUGAUACCCAUUCUUUUUACAUUUGAAUAAAAGACAUGAUUUUAACCUUUCUUUAAAAGUAUCCCUUGACAGAAUCUAUCAUUAAAAGUAUGACUUUUGAUCCACCUUCCAUAAACAGGCUUUCCUAAAAUUUCCAUUAAGUCAUAAGCCAUCCCAUUCAAAUUACUCAAAAUAAAAUACUGCAGCAUCAAUAUUUUGAAUCCAAAUAUGAAUGAAUCCAAAGCACCAUCAUUAUAUGAUAUAAGUUUACUAUUUAUAUAUCCCUAGAAGCAAAAAGGCUGCCAAUUAAACUAAGACAUAAUGCUUUUUUAUCAAUUAGAUUUCAUUUUUUGGAUAUCUGUAUCAUAUAUUCCACUGUUCUGCCCCAUGCCUCUCAUGUAGAUAGAUGAGUAUAUAUUACUUAUCCUUCUAAGCCUAAAUCAUAGGAUUUGGGAAUCAUCAGAAUACCUGAAGUGCAUAUAACUCAAUUAAACUUUGACAUUAUGACCACAUUCACACAUGCACAGAUAACAACUCCAUCAAAACCACCACCUACCCAACAUGGAUUUUGAGUCCAUCAAUUCAAAGAAGCAUCCCAGUUUCAGGUAUGUUCAAAUAUGAAAAAAUAGACAUCUUAGAAUGCAUAAAACACCACAAAUAUAAGUGCAAAAACAUAUAGCAGGAUUAUAAAUGGCAAAUAGCUUACAAUCAGAAAACCUGUCACUAGAGGGUCAUCAUUUCCUUAAAUAGUAACACUAGAAUAAUCCACACAGACUGCUAGAAAUUUAUGAAUCUUAAAACUGACAGUCAAAAUCUCAAUGAAGCCAAAUAACUCUUUAGGGCAAGAAAAGGUGAGAUCCUUGACUGAACUAAGGUUAUUCAAUCUCUUGUUUACUAAAACAGUGGUAGGGGUGGUUUGGUCUCUAGCAGAAGGGCAAACAAGAUGGUAUCACAUAAUGCAGCUGGCUUAAAGCAAAAUAAUAAAAAUGAAAAAACACUCAUUCCUCUACUUCUAAGAAAAUUAUAUUCUUCCUUUUUGAUGUACUGCUGACAUUCCUUUCCUCUCUUCAAUCCUAGAUUAGUUAACAGCUUGUAAAACUGCUGUUAUUAUAAUGACAAUCUCAAUCAACUAUAUCAUAAGGCUUUUUGCCUAAAGGAUCAUCUCUCCAAGUUGUAAUCUCUUUGAAGACUAAGGAGACAAAAGUCUCUCUUGAACACUAAGGUCUUUUCCAAAUUAAAAAAAAAUAUUCUAAAUAUUUAUGAACGAUAUCAAUCAGACUUCCUGCUAAAUAUUACUUCUUAGUUUUUAGGCUUUUGUAAUAUGUUAUAAAAGUUUCCAUUGUCUUUGUAUUGUUGAAGGCUACAAUAUUGCCUAGCACAUAGUAACAGCAAAUAAAUGUUGGUAAACUAGAAACUGACUCUCACAGUGGCCUUGAUUCUCACAGUUAACCUAGAAGUAAGUACCGCAACAAUGUUUAUUCCCAUUUCAUAUAUAAAGAAACUGAAGGUUGGAGAAUUUAGGGUUUUGCUCUAAAAUCACAGUUAAUAAGUGGCAUUGUCAAAACUGAAUCCCAGGCCCUUUGUCUCCAAGACCAGAGCAAUUCUUACAGUAACAGACUGAACAUCCCAUGCCUAGAUUUCCUUCCCUCUCUCUUCUCUUACCUACUACAUGAUACUUGACUCAGGAUUCUGGUUUGCUGAAUUACUGAAACCACAUCAACAGUGAGUCAAUGGUAAUUCUCUACCUGGUUACAUUUACAUUUUAGCACAGAUAUUGUAAGAUAAGGUGCAGCAGAGAUUAUUGGAAAUACACAUAUUGACAGUCAGAUAGCUCACUUCUAGUGGAACUAGAAUAUUUAAUUUUCCUGUGUCUCAAGUCCUUUAUCUGCAAAAGCAGGUGAAAUGCAGAUGAUCAAUAAGGUCUUUUCCUAACUAAAAACCUAACAUUCUAAAUAUUUAUCAAUUAUACAAAAUCAGAUCACCUGCUACAUUUUACUUAAUACUGGCCUUGAAAAAAAAAAGAAAACUAUAAAAACCUGUCUGUUAGAUUCUGCAGUGGGCCAAAAACAGAAUAUAUAAACAAAAAUUUAAAUAUAUUCCAACCGUACUACUUGACUAAGGACACUGUCUGUACCAAUUUAAAACUAGAAGGUUUUAAGGAUAAAUGAGAUCUAUACAGGCACAAUUGUCACAGCAGUCCUUCUAGGUAUACAAGAUACUGAAACAUUUUACUGGCCUAUAACUUACUUUUUCAUACAUGGCAAAACUAUAUUUUUCUCAUUACAAAUGCCCUAGCUCUCCCCACAAAGUUAUUGUGAAGUCUCCAAAUAUUGCUAAUUUGUCCCUUAAAGCAAAAAUAUAAAACACUUUGUGACAUAUGAAAAAUGUUCACCAUGUCCUUUAGUUGCUUCAAGAUAUAGCAUAUAAAUCUUUGAGUUUCUAAACAGAACCAUACUAUCUAGAUAUUUUUGUCUAAAAGAUUUAAAGCUUAAAUGUGCUACCUUUUUUUCUCUCUUGCAGCUUUCAAGUCACUUAGCCUGCUCCAGUCUCCAAG
rnacentral:lncRNA from 10 species